rnacentral:rRNA from 1 species
UACGUAGGGCGCAAGCGUUGUCCGGAAUUAUUGGGCGUAAAGAGCUCGUAGGCGGUUUGUCGCGUCUGCUGUGAAAGCCCGGGGCUCAACCCCGGGUCUGCAGUGGGUACGGGCAGACUAGAGUGCAGUAGGGGAGACUGGAAUUCCUGGUGUAGCGGUGAAAUGCGCAGAUAUCAGGAGGAACACCGAUGGCGAAGGCAGGUCUCUGGGCUGUAACUGACGCUGAGGAGCGAAAGCAUGGGGAGCGAACAGA